rnacentral:RNase_P_RNA from 1 species
GAAGCGGGCCAGACCGCCGCCGGUGCGAUCUUCGAAAGAAGGCACGGGAGGAAGGUCCGGACUGCACAGGGCGGCGUAGCAGCCAACGGCUGUCCGGCGUGAGCCGAGGAUCAGAGCAACAGAGACGAGUCGGGGCGGUCUUCGCAAGAAGGGCGCUCCGGGUGAAACGGGCAAUCUCUACGCGCAGCAACACCGAAUAGGCCGGCAUUGAUGUGGUCCCGCGGAGCCGGCGGGUGGGUGGCACCGAGCCGAUGCAGCGAUGCACGGCCCAGAGGAAUGGCGGUCACGGCGCUGUCUUCGCAAGAAGACGGCGCCGCACAGAAUCCGGCCUAUCGGCCCGCUUCACAC